rnacentral:misc_RNA from 1 species
GAUGAAGAACGCAGCGAAAUGCGAUACGUAGUGUGAAUUGCAGAAUUCAGUGAAUCAUCGAAUCUUUGAACGCACAUUGCACCUCUCGGUAUUCCGGGAGGUAUGCCUGUUCGAGCGUCAUUUGUACCCUCAAGCUCUGCUUGGUGUUGGGUGUUUGUUCCGCCUCUGUGUGUGAACUCGCCUCAAAACAAUUGGCAGCCGGCGUACUUGUUUCGGAGCGCAGCACAUUUUGCGAUCCAGAUCAACGUACAGCGGCAUCCAAGAAGCCUUAUUUAACGCUCUUGACCUCGGAUCAGGUAGGGAUACCCGCUGAACUUAAGCAUAUCAGCGGAGGA